ACUUUCAGCAACGGAUCUCUUGGCUCUCGCAUCGAUGAAGAACGCAGCGAAUUGCGAUAAGUAAUGUGAAUUGCAGAUUUUCAGUGAAUCAUCGAAUCUUUGAACGCACCUUGCGCUCCUUGGUAUUCCGAGGAGCAUGCCUGUUUGAGUGUCAU
rnacentral:rRNA from 2 species